AUUGAAUAGAUGGAUUAGAAACACAGUGACAUAUUGCAACAGCCAUAAAUAAUAAAAAACAGCAUCAUGAAGUUAUGGGGAACAGAAGGAUUGCAUAUUACAUUAUUCUGAAACAAUGUAAUAUCCUUGGGGAAAACAAAAACAAAAACAAGUCAGAAUCUACCCUUACAUAUGGUGGGAACCUUAGGGGGGUUUUCUCUGUCCUCAAGGUGGUCAAGAAUUUUACAGUCAAAGCAACAGAAGAAAGUGUUGGAAACAAUCGAUGCAGUGAACCAGAGCGUCUCUAUUCCGCAAAUCAGCAGAAAUGAAACGAAAAGGCAGCGACGACCCAGGAAGAACUGCCACAAACAGUCAAGACCACAGACAGAUGUUUUCAUCAGCGGAGAAGCCAGGCAGAAACCACGGUAACCAAAUGAUGAAAGUUAACGUCAGCAGCCACGGGGCAAGUUGGCAUGUUUCUAGGUGGGACGCGAAGAGGACAAACCUGAGAUGCAGGUAUGAGGAAGUGCAAGAAAACCAAAACAGAGAAACAUCCAUGUAAAAUAACUGGCCGCUAGUCCUCCAAAAUACCCAGAUGGAAAGAAGUUGAUGAAACACGGCCUCUAGGUGUAAGCACCUUGAGAUUGUGAAUUUCAUCCUGGGCCAGAACAUGCGCAUUAAUGGAUCAGCUGGUGAAUUUUGAAUGAAACGCGUUAGAUAACAGUACUAUAUCAAUGCUAUUUUUUCCUAGUUUUUAUAUAUGCAGUAUGGUUCCUUAAACUGUUACCCUAAGGGGGGACCGGGAGGAAGGAUAGAUAAAGAAUUCUUUGUGGUGUUUUGGCAACUUUUAAUGUUUAGCAAUUAUUUCAAAGUGAAAACUUAAAAAAAAAAUGAAAAGGAAAUGAACGCCUAUUUUUUUUUUGGAAAAAAGUUUAUCGAGCCACUUCAGGACACAAGAGUAUUUCAGCAUGUCUCCAUUUACACGUGUGUAACUGCCCUAAAGAAAGAAUCAGAGUUGCAGGCAAAAAACACAUUAUAAAAAUUUUCAUAACAGUAUUUUUCCUUUGAUGCAAAUGCAGUAUACUUAUAUAAUGACUGCCAUAAAAACAACAAAAAUUGUGUUUAAACAGGAUUUGAUGGCAUGAUACUUGGGAGCUUGGUGGGGCUCCCAGCGAAAUCCUAAAC
rnacentral:lncRNA from 9 species